rnacentral:rRNA from 1 species
UACAGAGGGUGCGAGCGUUAAUCGGAGUUACUGGGCGUAAAGGGCGCGUAGGCGGCCACCGCAAGUCGGUUGUGAAAUCUCUGGGCUUAACCCAGAAAGGUCAACCGAUACUGCGGGGCUAGAGUGCAGAAGGGGCAACUGGAAUUCUCGGUGUAGCGGUGAAAUGCGUAGAUAUCGAGAGGAACACCUGCGGCGAAGGCGGGUUGCUGGGCUGACACUGACGCUGAAGCGCGAAAGCUAGGGGAGCGAACGGG